UACGUAGGGGGGCUAGCGUUGUCCGGAAUCAUUGGGCGUAAAGCGCGUGUAGGCGGUCCGGUAAGUCCGCUGUGAAAGUCGGGGGGCUCAACCCUCCGGGAUGCCGGUGGAGUACUGUCGGGCUUGAGUACGGAAGAGGCGAGUGGAAUUCCUGGUGUAGCGGUGAAAGUGCGCAGAUAUCAGGAGGAACACCAAUGGCGAAGGCAGCUCGCUGGGACGGUACUGACGCUGGAGACGCGAAAGCGUGGGAGCGAACAGG
rnacentral:rRNA from 1 species